rnacentral:rRNA from 1 species
UACGUAGGUGGCAAGCGUUGUCCGGAUUUAUUGGGUUUAAAGGGUGCGUAGGCGGCUGUUUAAGUCAGUGGUGAAAGCCGAUCGCUUAACGAUCGAACUGCCAUUGAUACUGAAUAGCUUGAGUACAGAUGAGGUAGGCGGAAUUGACAGUGUAGCGGUGAAAUGCAUAGAUAUUGUCAAGAACACCGAUGGCGAAGGCAGCUUGCUAAAGUGUCACUGACGCUGAGGCACGAAAGUGCGGGGAUCAAACAGG